AAUGAACGCUGGCGGCAGGCCUAAACAUGCAAGUCGAACGCUGUAGCAAUACAGAGUGGCGCACGGGUGAGUAACAUGUGGGAAUAUGCCUAUUGGUACGGAACAACGUUUGGAAACGAACGCUAAUACCGUAUGGUCCCUUCGGGGUAAAGAUUUAUCGCCAAUAGAUUAGCCCGCACUAGAUUAGCUAGUUGGUGAGGUAAGAGCUCACCAAGCCGACGAUCGGUAGCUGGUCUGAGAGGAUGAUCAGCCACACUGGGACUGAGAUACGGCCCAGACUCCUACGGGAGGCAGCAGUGGGGAAUAUUGGACAAUGGGGGCAACCCUGAUCCAGCAAUGCCGCGUGAGUGAUGAAGGCCUUAGGGUUGUAAAGCUCUUUUGCCAGGGAAGAUGAUGACUGUACCUGGAGAAUAAGCCCCGGCUAACUUCGUGCCAGCAGGCCGCGGUAA
rnacentral:rRNA from 1 species